rnacentral:lncRNA from 1 species
CAGCCCGUCUGCAGCCUGCAGACACACGUGCCAUGUCACUACAGAGUCACACGGCUUUGGACCGAUCUAAUCAAAAAUAUGGGGAAAGGAGAGAGGCUGUGAUAAAUAUAACUUUGCAAAAGGAUCCCGGCCAGCAGCGAGAGGAACUGCACAUGGGUGGCAGGGCUGAGCGUCAGGUCCCGAAGCCAAAUGUCUGAGAAGAUGCAUCUCAUUUAGAGCAUCUUUAUUCCAAGACUGUGCCAGAGUGCACUUGUUGCUAUGGGUUAAAUCCAGGCAUUACCCAACAUAGCCAGAAGCCCAUCACUGCCAUCCGAGUGGGCAGA